GUGGAGAUGGGAUUGAGAAGGUUUGUGAAGUAGGUAACUCUGUUUUUAAGCCUAAGGAAAAAGGUUUUCCUGUUCAGAAAAAAAAAACUUCUGAGUUUGAUGCAAAGAGAAUAGAAAAAUCCAGAAAGGAGAGUUUUUAUCUCCUGACACUUUAAGGACCUAUUUAAGCUUCAAGGUGAAGAUAAGUAGAAUGAUCUACAUACAGUAGACAUCCAGGUAACACAUCUCUCAAAAAAAGUAUAUAUAUUUUUUUUUUACAUUCUUUAUUUUAUUUGUGCAGUAGGUGAC